AGUAACGCGUGGGUAACCUACCCAUAAACUCGGGACAACCCUUGGAAACGAGGGCUAAUACCGAAUAAUCUUUUGAUGCGGCAUCGUAUUAAAAGGAAAGGUGGCCUCUGAAUAUGCUACCGAUUAUGGAUGGACCCGCGUCUGAUUAGCUAGUUGGUGGGGUAAAGGCCUACCAAGGCGACGAUCAGUAGCCGGCCUGAGAGGGUGAACGGCCACACUGGGACUGAGACACGGCCCAG
rnacentral:rRNA from 1 species